rnacentral:rRNA from 1 species
CUACGGGCGGCAGCAGUGAGGAAUAUUGCACAAUGGGGGGAACCCUGAUGCAGCAACGCCGCGUGGAGGAUGACGCAUUUCGGUGUGUAAACUCCUUUUAUAUGUCAAGAAAAUGACGGUAGCAUAUGAAUAAGCACCGGCUAACUCCGUGCCAGCAGCCGCGGUAAUACGGAGGGUGCGAGCGUUACUCGGAAUCACUGGGCGUAAAGGACGCGUAGGCGGGUUGGAAAGUCAGGUGCGAAAUCCUACAGCUUAACUGUAGAACUGCACUUGAAACUUCUAAUCUAGAGUAUGGGAGGGGGAGAUGGAAUUAGUGGUGUAGGGGUAAAAUCCGUAGAUAUCACUAGGAAUACCUAAAGCGAAGGCGAUCUCCUGGAACAUAACUGGCGCUAAGGCGUGAAAGCGUGGGGAGCAAACAGGAUUAGAUACCCUGGUAGUC